GGACGUCCUCGACUCGGCGUGUUGCACUACCUCCGGUGUCAUCACCCCUUGUGGCCCGCAGCAUCUGAGGACAUAUGACUACUUUCUGACCUGCCAGCGCAAAUGUUAGAUCAUUUGAAUUAGCAAGUACAGAUGAUCAGGCAGACGACAAAAGGAAAUUGCUCUUUUAAUAUGUAAUUUGUACUGUGAAAUUUGAUACUCACAGUACAUCAUGAUCUGCAUGACAAACUGAGUUGACAAUAUGGCAUCCUUUGAACAUAGUGGGGCACGUACUCCCUUUCAGGACCCGACGAACAACAGGAAUUCAGGUAAAUACAUAUAUCACGUACUCUUACCUACUUCAAUCUUGUAAAUCCAGAAUAUGUCAUUGCCUCGUAGGUCAAAAAACAGAUUCAAAAGAACUAAAGAGACAGAGGGAAAGGGAGAGGUAAACAGGGAUGCAAUACUAAGAAAAUAAGACAGGAGGCAAGGGAUCUAAGAAAGCUACGUCUGCUAUUCUAAAUGGAACCAACACUCCAUCUAAGCCACCCGUGGCCAUGUCGCCUGGUUACUCCAUUUUCUAUGUUCUUUAUCAUACAUUCCAUGAAUCACAAGUAAAGUCAUGUUAAUUAAGUGUUCUUUUCGACAGGUUUUGACGCUGUGGACAGGCCCAGUGCGUAGUCCGCUGUCACCCAGCAACGACACACCCCAGCUACGGAAGGUC
rnacentral:lncRNA from 1 species